rnacentral:sRNA from 1 species
AUUUUCCCAGAGCCCUUCCCCAGGCUGGCGGAGGCUGGCUUUGGCCCUGGAGUCCUCAGAGAACCCCCCAGCAUCUCUGCCUGUGUAGUGGGGACUCCGAGUGCCACUGCAUGCUGGACAGUGCCCUGUGCCAUU